ensembl:lncRNA
CUCCUAUGUACCCACCUCACCUCAUGGCUUUGCUCCAUAGAAACUCCCUGGAAAACAAGGCUCCUGGGCAGCCCAUUUCCUGGGUGUCCCCUCCUGUCCCUCUCCGGCAGGAGGUGUCUUUCCCUCAAUAAAUAUUCCUUACUUUUAACCUCUGUUCUUAGAAAUCUUUGAUUUUAGAGGACACGAACUCUCCCUUCAGUUAUCUAGCACAGGUGGAGUUAUAAUAUUUCCUUUGUUUGGAUUAUUUUUGCUUAUUUGGAUUACUUGGUGCCCUGUAUCAUUUGGAGGUCUUCCACCGAGAUCACUGGACAGAGGUCUGGUGUUCAUCAUUUAUGUGUGUAGGGGAGAACUUAGCUUUGCUGCUGUGAGAACAAGAUCUUCUUGAUCUUUGGCAUUGGAAGAGGUACUGCCCUCAUUCUGAGAGAGGGAAGAGGUCACCCAUCACCAUGGUGGCCAAGGAAGAAAGCUCAGACAGGAAAUGAUGGUGCCCGAAGC